GAAAUGCGAUAAGUAAUGUGAAUUGCAGAAUUCAGUGAAUCAUCGAAUCUUUGAACGCACCUUGCGCUCUCUGGUAUUCCGGGGAGCAUGCCUGUUUGAGAAUCGCAAAGCAACACAAAUCACAUUCAUUUUUUUUUGGGUGUGGAAUUGGGCCGAAUUCCUCUUUUCAGAUUUUUUUGAAGGGAGAGGAUGGCUUGAAAUCUAGAAGGCCGGCUUGGGUAAAACCAAGCGGAUCAGGACCGAAUUUUUACUCCCAGAGCAAUAAUAGUUAAUGCGUUUUUGCGCGUUAUCCCUUUUUGCCCCGGGGUUGGCCCUGAACUUUUUAGGCCUCACACUUUUUU
rnacentral:misc_RNA from 1 species